AUCCAUUAAAGUAAAGCACAGUGGGGUGGGUUGGUAUUCUCGUUUUCUUUCUUUUAAGCGCCAGCGAUCGUUCAACGCAAUCAUUUAAUCAUCCCGGGUAAUUUUCUUCACCCAGAAACAGACGUGAUUUAUUUAAAAAUGGGGCUGAUGGCGUGCGAAAGUUGCCCGCUGGGGCAGAGCCCGCGGCGGAGCGGCAGCACCGUGCUGGCCGGGGCAGCGCUGCCCGCAGCCCGCCCGGGCCGCUCGGAGCUCAGCGGGGCCAGGAAGCGAGGCCGCGGUGCCCGGCAGAGGGACAGAGAUGUAGCGGGACAGACGGAGGGAAGGGCUCGGAGGCCAGUUUUACUUGGCAGCAGAAGGUGUGACUUUGUAGCACGACAGUUCUGUCUUGCUGUCUCCUUGCCAGUGUUCCAUAGCUCUGCAGGUUACAGUUAAUAUUGGAAUGGUUACCCUGAGCAAGUCCCUGUGUCCCUUUGACAGUGGCCUAGGAGAUGCCUGGAAGAUGGAUGAUGAACUGCUUUGUGAUCUCUCUGGAGUGUGGAGUCUGAUGGGGUAACUGGACAGUGUCAGACACAGUACAGCAACUUUGUGCUCUUCUGCUCAGACCAAGAAAUGAGCUGAGCGACCUCUGCCUUUUAGGGGGAAAUGAAGUUUCUGCUCCACUCACCCAUCACCACCACCCAGAAAUUCAGCAGCUUCUGUGCCUGAGCCAGGUGAACAAUUGGUACAGCUGGGGAUGGGAAGGAAGAAAAGAGAAGUAUGUGAGCACACAUUUGUACUUUUUCCAGCAAAGAAGGCAGGAAGAUUGAUCACCACAAGGAAAAGAUCUUAAAACACCUCUCAGAGGCUCACUGGCAGUUUCAGAGUAACAAGAGUAACAAGUGAUGAUGAUCUUUCUCCACACAAUGACAUCUUUAAGGGCCAGAGAGAAAAUUACAGUCAAAACCAUGUGCAUUCAGAUUGUGCAGCGUCGUGUCCGUGAACUUCCAGAGUUUGCAUUAAGAAGUGACAGAACAUCAGAGUGCCAGAAGCUUCUCAUUUUGUGGCCCUGAAGGCACGGUGGUGGAUUCCAGCAGCCUUGAGAGGACAGGGUGGAGAGAGGAAGGACAAGGGGACAGUCUGACUGUUGUCAGCAGAGAUCCACAAACACUCUUCUAAGACUUGCUCUGGAGCAACUGCUCUGUGUGGGCACAAUUUGGGGAGCCCCCAGAGUGACCUGAGCUCUUCAGGAGGCCACCAAGGGCAGGUGAGGGAGUAAAGGCCAAAUUAGUGGCCACUUUUAGCAGUGACACUCUGCAGCCCAGUCUGCAGUGCCAGAUGGGCCACAUGAACCUGUUGCAGCCACAAGGAACCUGUCCCUGUGCAGGUCUCACCUCACUUUCCUCCUCAGUUUAAAGCUGGUCUGGUUAUCUAUCCCUGCAUAGGGCCUCUGAUCACAAUCUUUUCCUGAGCUGUUCCUCCCAUGGCCAGGCCUGUCCGUGGCCUGUAGCACUGCCAGGCCAGAGAGUUUAUACACACACAUCUUGAGAUGUGCUGCUGCUUAAACAAGGUUAGCCAGAGCCUCAUUACCAAGAUUUACACUGUCAGUUACAGAGAUGCCCAUCCAAUCCUAUAACACAUAAAUUUAUGGGCAUCACAGCGAAUUUUUUAUUGUUAGAGCUCAUAUACAAUGUGUGCCCUUAGUGACACAUUUUUAAAUAAAAUAUAUUGUACUGGUGAUUUCUAAUGCUUAAAAUAAAAUAAAAUAAUAAUCAACUUUUAGCUACAGUUUCCCCCUGGUUAUUGAGCUGAACUUAAUGACUGGCUGAAAAGUAUUUGUCAACACAACAGCUGGAGAGCAACACUUUCUUGUGGCUUUAUGUCACAGCAUAUGCCAGCCACUCAGAACAUGUGAUAAUUCAACUGGAGCUGGUACUACAAUAGCAGAUGGGUUGAAGCAUUGUUAUUCUCACUCUAGCUCCCAGCCCUUGAGGGAUCACUAAAUAAAAUCAAAGCAGAUGGACCAUUACAAGCUCAUUUGUGUUCACUACAAGCACCUCAACCUCCAGUUGUGAUAUACUGCACCUUUGUAUAAAAUGACAUGUAUGGUAACAUGGCCUAAUGAAAAUAGCAUCAGACUUGGCAAGUGAGGAAUGAGACUGGGAAAUAUUCACAGAUCUAUUUAUCACUGAGUUCUUACCUUGCAGAAAGGGUUCAUUCCUGUCCCUCUCUCACCACCCCCCUGCCCCAAAGUUUAUCAUAGUAUUUUUCUCCAUGUUUAUAGUUUAAUUUCCUCACACUUGUCACAAGAACUAGGAGGUGGCUGCUGGUUCUGGCUGUAGGAGCCAAGCAGGGCUCCCAGCCCAUGCAAAGACAGGAAGAGUGCUACUAAUCAGGAGUGUAAAACUCAUUCCUACAUCCCCUUGAUGAAUCUGCUAAUCCAGGAGGCCCCCAGGGCUCAAGGCUUUAGCACCUACUGGCACCAAUACCUGCAGGGACCAGGACACUGUGUCCAUUUCUCAGCAGUUAGUGCCAAUUCCCAAGUGGAACUCCUCUCAAAUAUGAGCUUUUUAGAUAUGCAUGUAUCUUAUUUUUUUCCACCCAGUUUUAAACAGCUUCUGUGCCCUACUGCAGACACAGCUGCAUCCAGUGAUAAAUAGAAUAUACUGUGAACUUAUUCAACGCUUUGAGCAUUCUGUUCUUCCCUGUAUAAACAAGUACAGUGGGAGUAGACAGUGUUUGGGGAGAGUUAAUUCCAUUCUGUCUCUAUGAAAGACCCAUAUAAGACUAUGAAACUUUAGGAAAAGCUCUGUAGAUCACCUGACUGCCAUAGCUCCCUUCAUCCAGCUGCUGCUGGGCUUUAAAGAGCCAAAGAGGUGCAGCAGUGGAAGCCAAAGAAAUCACUUCAUUGGGGUUGGUAAAUACAGUUGAACUUCAGUGACUGCAGCAAGCAGCUGAAAGACUUGUCCAGCUUUUUAUGUGAAACAGCCUUUUUCUGAAUGUCUGAAUUGUCUAAAAUGAUGAAUGGAUCAGAUAAUAUUUCUCACCUGACCCAGAAAGUGUAGGGCAGCUGGGCAGUGUCAAGGACAGUGCUGCCAGGGAGAACACUGUGUGCAGCUUUGUUUGUUCUUCCUGAGCACUCUGUGCUCAGUGCAGUGCCUCAUCCUAAACUGCAAAUUUGUGAUACUCUGUCAGAGGCAUGUGCAGGUCAGGCCAGGCAUCAGCACUGCCCCUUAUCUGCUGGCCGGCUUUCCUAUCAGCCCAACUAAUUUGCUAAGAUAAUUCUGUUUCCUGCUAUCUAUUACAAUAAAUCAACCACUGUAGCUUCAUUGAAUUCUCUGCCAGCUGCUGCCCUUGAAAUUCUCAAACUAUAUGGGGGGCUGGAGGGAAACCUGUACUCUUCUAAAUAUAUGAAAAUUUUAGAUGAACAGCUUGAUAGCCUGGGCAGUGCUGUAUUUCCUCAGCCCCACAUUAAUGAUGUGCCAGAGUCUGCUCAGAUUGAGGCAAACCCCAUUGCAUUAGUCAUUCUUUUGAAAACAAGUUUUUGGAAUAAUGUGAUCUCGGUGGUAAAGCAAGUUUGUGGGUAAAUGCAGACAUGGCAAGUGACACUGAGAGAUAGAGAACAGGAGCACAUGCUCAGGAAAGAGCCAGAGUAAAAUGACAAGGCAUUCACUGUGGUGGCUGUUGAAUUAAAAAAUAAAGGUAUUCCAUUCUCUGACAAUUAAUUUUGAAGAGGAAAAAGAUGUUGAGGAUGGGUGCAAACUGAAGAAACAUGAAGCAUCCCCAAGCAUGCCUACUACAAGAACAAAACUUCAGGGGAGAAAGUGUAUUCUGCUUUUCCUUAUGUCAAUAUCAAAUACAGAGAGUAGCAGUGAUACUACAUUUCACAGCCAUAUUUAAGGUUAGAAGAUACAUCAGUUUAUGUCCUACUUGUGUAGUUUUUAUAUAGUUAUUUAAUAAUGCCAAGUUUUGGUUUUGUUUUGUUUUGUUUUUUUUAAGGGACUUUUAUCCCUCAUGAAAUUUCAGCUUUUUCUUUUAAUUAUCCAGAAGAUCAACACUGGUUCUGUAAUGGCUCUGCUGGGAUUAAACUCAGCCUGUACCAUCUAUGUUGCUGAAGAGAGCCAACUCCUUCCUUAGCAGCAUGGUUGGGUUCAUUCAGUCAAUCAUUUGGCAGAAGGAUGUUUAAGCAUAAUUGCAUAUCCCCUCCUUGUCUUUAAAUAUUCAGAGGAAAAGUCACAGAAGAACCGAUAAUGUAACAAUAAUAAUGGGGCUGAAGAACAGUAUUAUAGUGUGAAUUCAUCUAUCCCUUGGUUUCAUUUACAUGUUUAACAGCUGCUUGUACUUCCAUUAGAGAAAGAUCAUUACCUGACUUGUAAGAAGAGAGGGGGAGUCUAUUCACCUUUGGGCAACUAGCUCUGCAUUUAUUAAUAGUUGUUGCCCAUCUCAUUAUACAUUUAAUUGUUGCAUUAUAAUUUAUUUAUUCAUUGAUUUAUUGUAAUAGAUGAGUAGAAACAAAAUUACCUUUGCAAAUUACUUUGAUAGGUGGGAAGUUUGCAUGGUUAAAAAUACCCCAACAUGCAGUGUGGAAUGUGAGAUGUUAGCCAGUGAAUAACAUCUUCACACAUAAGCACCAGCAGAGUCAGACUGGUCUCAUUACAAAGUGAAGGUAAAUGCAGCCAAUUUAUACACUGAUUAAAAAAUAUGUAUAAUUGUUACUUCUAUACAAUUGUCCUUACAUUCCCAGAUGUCUCUGCUUCACAGAACAGGGAAUCAGAAGAAAAGUGAAGGAGAAAGAGGAUGGAAAGCGAAGACUCAUCAAAAAUUAGAAAGCUAAAGGUGUAGGAGUUUGCAGAGCACGUGGAAGCCAGGCCUGCCUUGCUGCCAGCGUGGGUGGGCAGCUCCUGUUGGGGCAGCUCAGCCCCACAGCCCCAGCACAGCAACAGCAACCAAAUGGGGCCGUGGAGAGUUGGGCAGAGCCAGACAUAGAAAAUACACACAAGGAAUUUUUCCAUUUCCAGUUAACAUACAUGAGUUAGACCCAGAAAAACUCCAAUAUUUUUGUUGUCAAUUAAAUAAAAUUAAUGAUUUGAUAAAACUGAUUAGUUAAUAACAAUAUCCACUAUCAAUUUUCUGCAUACAAAGAUCUAUUAACUGAAAAACUUGUCAGUUAGGGCCACAAAAUGCAGAUUGGUUUUUGGUGGGGUGGUGGUUUUGGUUUUGUCCUUAAGAGCUGGAGCCUGCAGCAGCUCCCAGGGGAGGUGGGACUCAUCCAGGGCUGAGCUGAUUGCUGUUGGAGGGGCUGGAGGGAAGCCAGGGGCAGGGGGAGGCUGAGCUGCAGCCACAGCAGCAGGCUCGGCUCCCGCGGCUGGACCUGGCUGCACGGAGCGCUUCAUUCCGCACCAAGGCUUAGUGUGAAAAUUAUUACUACUUUCGUCUUGUUGAUACAGCUUUUCAUCAGCUUUCAGCAGAGUGCUGCAAUUACCCUGAGAUACCCCUGGCAUUUUGCAUCUCCCGAUAGAAGCUGCUUUCCUCACACCGGGGGGAUCCAGCGCUCCAUGACGGGCCCACAGGCGGUGCAGCGAGCCCGGGCCACACCUGGGGCUCAGGGUCACACUGAGCCCGGGCUGGGCAGCUCCGGCUCCAGGGACCGUCCCUGGGCUCCGGCAGCAGCGAGCUACAGCCGGCCCUUGCAGAGGGAUUGAAAAGCGACAGCUCCGUCUGCACCUCACCCGGUGCGGCCACGGGGAGCCCUGCGAACAGCAGGACAAAGCCGCGGGGACACAGAGGGGACACAGCGCGGACA